rnacentral:rRNA from 1 species
AACGAACGCUGGCGGCAGGCCUAACACAUGCAAGUCGAACGCCCUAGCAAUAGGGAGUGGCAGACGGGUGAGUAACACGUGGGAACCUUCCCUAUAGUACGGAAUAUACCAGGGAAACUUGGAGCAAUACCGUAUACGCCCGAGAGGGGAAAGAUUUAUCGCUAUAGGAUGGGCCCGCGUAGGAUUAGCUAGUUGGUGAGGUAAUGGCUCACCAAGGCGACGAUCCUUAGCUGGUGAGAGAACGACCAGCCACACUGGGACUGAGACACGGCCCAGACUCCUACGGGAGGCAGCAGUGGGGAAUAUUGGACAAUGGGCGGCAAGCCUGAUCCAGCCAUGCCGCGUGAGUGAUGAA